rnacentral:misc_RNA from 1 species
ACUUCAUCCACCCUUGCUUUCUUAACCGAUCGCUCGGGCUGGGAUUUGGGGGUUGCCGGUCCCUGGUAGAUCGGCUCUCCUUAAAAGCAUUAGCGGGAUCCAAGUGUUGGCCCCCCGGCGUGAUAGUAAAAUAUCUGCGUCUCCUGGGCCUCGCGUUUUAAAGGGUCUGCUUCUAACCGCCCACCUCUGGGCAAAUCUUACUUUACU